ensembl:snRNA U6 U6 spliceosomal RNA
UCACUUCUGCAGCGCAUGUACUAAAAUUGGAAUGGUACAGAGAAGUUUGGCAGGGCCCUGGCAUCCAAACAAGGAUGGCAUGCACAUUCAUGCAGCAUUUCAUAUUAUU